rnacentral:rRNA from 1 species
AGAGUUUGAUCCUGGCUCAGGACGAACGCUGGCGGCGUGCUUAACACAUGCAAGUCGAACGGAAAGGCCCUGCUUUUGUGGGGUGCUCGAGUGGCGAACGGGUGAGUAACACGUGAGUAACCUGCCCUUGACUUUGGGAUAACUUCAGGAAACUGGGGCUAAUACCGGAUAGGAGCUCCUGCUGCAUGGUGGGGGUUGGAAAGUUUCGGCGGUUGGGGAUGGACUCGCGGCUUAUCAGCUUGUUGGUGGGGUAGUGGCUUACCAAGGCUUUGACGGGUAGCCGGCCUGAGAGGGUGACCGGCCACAUUGGGACUGAGAUACGGCCCAGACUCCUACGGGAGGCAGCAGUGGGGAAUAUUGCACAAUGGGCGGAAGCCUGAUGCAGCAACGCCGCGUGCGGGAUGACGGCCUCCGGGUUGUAAACCGCUUUCGCCUGUGACGAAGCGUGAGUGACGGUAAUGGGUAAAGAAGCACCGGCUAACUACGUG